rnacentral:rRNA from 1 species
CCUACGGGGUGCAGCAGUGAGGAAUAUUGGUCAAUGGGCUUACGCCUGAACCAGCCAAGUCGCGUGAGGGAAGACUGCCCUAUGGGUUGUAAACCUCUUUUGUCAGGGAGCAACGCCGGCUACGUGUAGCCGGACUGAGAGUACCUGAAGAAAAAGCAUCGGCUAACUCCGUGCCAGCAGCCGCGGUAAUACGGAGGAUGCGAGCGUUAUCCGGAUUUAUUGGGUUUAAAGGGUGCGUAGGCGGAAUGCCAAGUCAGCGGUAAAAUCGCGGGGCUCAACCUCGCUCCGCCGUUGACACUGGCGUGCUUGAGUGGGCGAGAAGUAUGCGGAAUGCGUGGUGUAGCGGUGAAAUGCAUAGAUAUCACGCAGAACUCCGAUUGCGAAGGCAGCAUACCGGCGCCCAACUGACGCUGAAGCACGAAAGCGUGGGUAUCGAACAGGAUUAGAUACCCUGGUAGUC